GAGUGGUCCAAGCGUUAUCCGGAAUUAUUGGGCGUAAAGGGUAUGUAGGUGGUUUUGUUAGUUGAUUGUCUAACCUCCUUGGCUUAACCAGGAAACAGCAAUCAAAACGGCAAGGCUAGAGUAUGUUAGGGGUGAGCGGAACUAAUAGUGUAGGGGUGAAAUACGUUGAUAUUAUUGGGAACACCAAAAGCGAAGGCAGCUCACUGGGACAUUACUGACACUGAAAUACGAAAGCGUGGGUAGCGAAUGGGAUUAGAUACCCCAGUAGUCCACGCCCUAAACGAUGUUCUCUCGCUAUACUGAGUAUCGACCCUCAGUGUGGCUUAGCUAACGCGGUAAGAGAACCGCCUGGGAAGUACGAUCGCAAGAUUA
rnacentral:rRNA from 1 species